UCGGGAAUUUUGGGCAAUGGGCGCAAGCCUGAUCCAGCCAUGCCGCGUGCAGGAUGACGGUCCUAUGGAUUGUAAACUGCUUUUUGUACAGGAAGAAACAGUUCUACGUGUAGAACCUUGACGGUACUGUAAGAAUAAGGAUCGGCUAACUCCGUGCCAGCAGCCGCGGUAAUACGGAGGAUCCAAGCGUUAUCCGGAAUCAUUGGGUUUAAAGGGUCCGUAGGCGGUUAGAUAAGUCAGUGGUGAAAGCCCAUCGCUCAACGGUGGAACGGCCAUUGAUACUGUCUGACUUGAAUUAUUAGGAAGUAACUAGAAUAUGUAGUGUAGCGGUGAAAUGCUUAGAGAUUACAUGGAAUACCAAUUGCGAAGGCAGGUUACUACUAAUGGAUUGACGCUGAUGGACGAAAGCGUGGGUAGCGAACAGGAUUAGAUACCCCUGUAGUCCCUGAGCGGGCUGGCAAGGCGCAU
rnacentral:rRNA from 1 species